rnacentral:rRNA from 1 species
AUUGAACGCUGGCGGCAUGCCUUACACAUGCAAGUCGAACGGUAACGCGGGGCAACCUGGCGACGAGUGGCGAACGGGUGAGUAAUGUAUCGGAACGUGCCCAGUUGUGGGGGAUAACUGCUCGAAAGAGCAGCUAAUACCGCAUACGACCUGAGGGUGAAAGCGGGGGAUCGCAAGACCUCGCGCAAUUGGAGCGGCCGAUAUAAGAUUAGGUAGUUGGUGGGGGAAAGGCUCACCAAGCCGACGAUCUGUAGCUGGUCUGAGAGGACGACCAGCCACACUGGGACUGAGACACGGCCCAGACUCCUACGGGAGGCAGCAGUGGGGAAUUUUGGACAAUGGACGCAAGUCUGAUUCAGCCAUGCCGCGUGCGGGAAGAAGGCCUUCGGGUUGUAAACCGCUUUUGUCAGGGAAGAAAAGGCUCCUUCUAAUAUAGGGGGCUCAUGACGGUACCUGAAGAAUAAGCACCGGCUAACUACGUGCCAGCAGCCGCGGUAA